AAACAGUUUUAUUCCGUUUAUAAUUUAUUUUUGUUGUUAUAAAGCUACCCAGGUUGUUGGUAGAUUUCAGUAUUAAUAUCAUAAUUUCAGAAAAGGAAUUAUUGGUCAAGCCAAUUAGAUUUAAUUUCUGUAUGUGGCAAUGGCACAGGUGCCACUCCUAGCUGCCUGGCCCCAGCGUGGAUGCAGGCUGCCCUCACUGCUGCUGCACUAUCAAAAUCACCCAGCCUCUGCCAGACUGGAACUGGAUUGUUCCUGUCCUUGGCAUAUAAAGGUUGCUGGACCCAAUAUAGAAAAAAUAGCCCUAAUUCUACAUUAAAAAUUAGAGGUGAAACAUAGCAAGAUUGAAGUCAGUGGGAGUUUUAUUACUGAUUUGGGAGGAGACAGGAAUUUCAUUCUAGCUGUUUUUGCCUUUUUAUGUCUUGCAUGUGACACUUUCCAGGACUUGUGAGCUUUGGAGAGUUGAUCAUGACAAUAUCACAUAAGGCUCUACAUUUAAACUUUCACAGAGAGUUAUUUUUAUUCCUCUUUUAAUGCAACAAAACAGUUUUAAUAGGAACAUGCACUGCUUGUCCUCUGCUAAAAAUAACCAUGUCAGACAAUGACUAAUACUUUUUUUGGGACAAAAAGACAGAGCCUUUUUGGAUCAAGCAAAAGGAAUGAUUUUCUUGUUGCUCUCUCUCCAGGUCUUUGAAAGGAACUAAGGCUUUUAUUUAUAUUCAGUUAUUUUUGUAAAAAAUAAAAGAAAUAGAGAUGGAUCGAAUUUGUGCUAUGCAUAUUGAAGAAUAGCCUUCAGUAAAACAGUUGCAACAGUUUUGUAAUUAUUUCAGCAAAAACAAGGAACAAUACAGACUUUUGUGAUAUCUCUGAAUUCACUGUAUGUCUCCCCCAAAAUUGUAGGAUCUGAAUCUGAAUCCUUGCACUGUCAGAAGGUCCAAACAAAGCUCUACCAUCUCUGUUUAUACUGGAUAGUUCUUUGUAUAUGCCCUGUAUAUUGUUAGUUCCCAUAAAUGUUUCUUUUCUGAGUAAUAUUAGAUAGAGCCCGAUAUCCUACUUUAACUUUUCCUUACACUACUUAAAUUUAAACCAGGUGAAAUACCCUCAUGCUG